ACGCUCGACACCUACGGGAGGCAGCAGUGGGGAAUAUUGCACAAUGGGGGAAACCCUGAUGCAGCGACGCCGCGUGAAGGAUGAAGUAUUUCGGUAUGUAAACUUCUAUCAGCAGGGAAGAAAGUGACGGUACCUGACUAAGAAGCCCCGGCUAACUACGUGCCAGAAGCCGCGGUAAUCUGAGCGGGCUGGCAAGGC
rnacentral:rRNA from 1 species